CGAGAGACACCGGAGUUGUCCACCCCUGGGCUCUCCACCCCCUCUGAGCCCCUAGUCACUGCCUCCCCAAUGUCGGCCUUUGAUCUGUACAGACAUAAUCGAGUGUGGGAAAGCAAUAGUUACCUUAGAUCUAGGCAGAAGUGAGGACUUAUAGAGCAAAUAUUUAUUAUAGACUGUAAAUGCCAUAUAUUAAUACAUGUAAUUAUGUAUGUUUUGAUAAUAAAAUUUAAUGAU
rnacentral:misc_RNA from 1 species